rnacentral:rRNA from 1 species
CAGUAUUCUGACUGUGCUAAGGUAGCAUAAUCAUUAGUCUUUUAAUUGGAGGCUGGUAUGAAUGACGAGACGAGAAAAUGCCUGUCUCUAUAAUAAACUUUGAAUUUCAUUUCUGAGUGAAAAAGCUCAGAUAAUUUUGAAGGACGAUCAGACCCUUUGGAGCUUUAUUUACUUUAAAAAUUUGAAUUUGUUUUAAUUGAUUGAAUGGAAAGUAAAUUUUGUUGGGGCGACAGGGAGUAAAAUAUAACACUCUUUUUUUAAAACAAUCCUAAUUGGAAAAUUGAUCCUUAGAGUGAGAUUAUAAGACUAAGUUACCCUAGGGAUAACAGCGUAAUCUUUUUGGAGAGUUCAAAUCGAUAAAAAGGUUUGCGACCUCGAUGUUGGAUUAAGAGAUUGGAAAGGUGCAGAAGUUUUGCUGGAAAGUCUGUUCGACUUUUAAUCUCUUACAUG